rnacentral:ncRNA from 2 species
CUGGGGCCACACGACUGGCGCAGGUGGGCCACCACCGGGAAGUGACGAUUCGAGGGCAUCGCCCGCCUGGGUGCCCCGG